rnacentral:lncRNA from 1 species
AUCUAGGUGAAGUGUAUGCAAGAAUUCUUUGUAGAAUUCUUGUGGCAUUACUUUUUAGGGCAAGAAACGUCCUACUAUUUUCAAAGAAUAAGUGUCCUGGUGGGAUGAAUUAAGGUGCAGACUGAAAAUACAGUUCCCAAAUGGCAAUAAUUUACAGGUGAGUUCAAUAAAUUGGGGAGAAAGGAAACAACAGAAAGAAUGCUUGGAAGAUUUUCAAUAGCAACUGUCUGUGCUGUUGAACAAAUCUGCAGUUGCUGCCUUCGCCUCAAUGCCGUGGGAUUAUUUUCAGUGGAGCUUCAAGGGGAAGAAAUGGCUGCUUGCCAGUUUCCGUGUUCUCAUCCAGCUGUUCAGACAGUUAAAGGACUUAAGUUGGUUUGAGCAGUCAUGCAGUCUGCCUCUGAGACACAAGCCUUUGGACUCAAGCUGAAGUACAUCACAAACUUUCCUGGGUUUCCAGUGUGCAAACGGCAGGUUGCAUGGCUUCUCAGCCUCCAUAAUUGCAUGAGCCAAUUCCUCAUAUCAUACUGGUUCUGUUUCUCUGGAGGAACCUGACUACUGCACUUGUUUUUAAGAUACUACCAUUGUUACACCCCACUCCGUCUCUGCAAGACCCUCUUAUUCACACUGAAUGCUCAACUUUCUGCAUAUAAAAUCUUUGCUGGACAUUGCGGCUUGCUGGGAAGGAUUUCCCCUGGAAGACUUUGCCUCUCAUCUUCAGUAUGUGACAAAAUAAGUUAAUAUCACCAACCAGGACAAUCAGACGACACCUUGUCUCUUGUCACUUACUUCAGUUAUGACAAAGAUCUUUUACAAGCUACCUGUUUAUCUUAACUUCUUUUUCCCUACGUAUUACCAAGGUUGCCCAUAUUCUCCAAAAAAAUUAAAAAUUAAAAAAAAGUGAAGCUUCAGGAAAUCAACAAUCCACUUCAGUUAGGAGGACUUCUGUGUCAAACGCCCUAUUGAGUUUCAUUGAUAAUAAAUCAACAAGUUUAAGAAAUUAUUAAUCCAUCUGAUUAUAAAUGCAAAUAUUUAUUCAAAUUGCUGAGAUUUAUCUUUUGUCAUGCUUCAUAACCAAGAAUGAUUCUGUAAUAGCCUACUAUUUUAUUAGCAUACAUAUUUAGUUUGUUGCUAAAUAGAACAGGUUUAAGGGUUUUUAUUUAUUUAUUUUAAUUUUAUAUACUAAAAUUUGACAAUUCUAAUGGAUGCUUCAAGGGACCAUUCAGUUCUUGUAUAAUUUUUUUUAACAUAUUUUAUCAGUUGACAAAUAGCUUUGAGUAUUAAGCUCAGUGUUGUAUGGAGGGCACUGUAUGUGUGGGAUCUUGGUGCACUUGAAAGCCACAGGAAAGUACUGUAGUUUAUUCCUUUUCUACAAAUGUAUCUAAAAUGCAGAACUAAAUGUUAUAUGUGGGUGAUUUAAACAAAAGUGAAGGCUGCUUUGAUGAUAGCAUAAAUCUCAAAAAAAACACCUUAUUCAUCGGUCUAAUAUCUUUGUUACCUCUAUAGAUCAUAACUGACAAUGACAUAGUUAUUAAGUUUCUUUUAGUGUAUUAAAAAUAAACAGUUUGGGAGCUGAUUUAUUUUGUUAAAAAAAAGACUUUAAUUUUUUCUUAAUAUUGCUUCUGUUGUGUAAUCUAUUCCAAUAAAUUUCUUGUUGAAAUUUCUAUUGGAAGCAAAAUUUUACCUGCACAGAGGUUCUGAAAGUCAUUCAGAAUUAAAGUAAUACUUUCUGCAUUUAUUUGGCAGUUGAUUUUUUUGUUGACAUUAUGGUGUGAUUCUCUGGAACAAUUGC